UACGAAGGGGCUAGCGUUGUUCGGAAUUACUGGGCGUAAAGCGCACGUAGGCGGAUCGAUCAGUCAGGGGUGAAAUCCCAGGGCUCAACCCUGGAACUUGCCUUUGAUACUGUCGAUCUGGAGUAUGGAAGAGGUGAGUGGAAUUCCGAGUGUAGAGGUGAAAUUCGUAGAUAUUCGCAAGAACACCAAGUGGCGAAGGCGGCUCACUGGCCCGGUACUGACGCUGAGGUGCGAAAAGCGUGGGGAGCAAACAGGG
rnacentral:rRNA from 1 species